rnacentral:rRNA from 1 species
UGAGGAAUAUUGGUCAAUGGACGCAAGUCUGAACCAGCCAAGUAGCGUGCAGGAUGACGGCCCUAUGGGUUGUAAACUGCUUUUAUAUGGGGAUAAAGUGGGGAACGUGGUCCCUUUUGCAGGUACCAUAUGAAUAAGGACCGGCUAAUUCCGUGCCAGCAGCCGCGGUAAUACGGAAGGUUCGGGCGUUAUCCGGAUUUAUUGGGUUUAAAGGGAGCGUAGGCCGUUUGGUAAGCGUGUUGUGAAAUGUAGGAGCUCAACUUCUAGAUUGCAGCGCGAACUGUCAGACUUGAGUGCGCACAACGUAGGCGGAAUUCAUGGUGUAGCGGUGAAAUGCUUAGAUAUCAUGAAGAACUCCGAUUGCGAAGGCAGCUUACGGGAGCGCAACUGACGCUGAAGCUCGAAGGUGCGGGUAUCGAACAGG